rnacentral:lncRNA from 1 species
GAAAAAAAAUCAGUUAUUGUUACUUUGGGAUUAUAUUACAGGUGGUAGGAUUUCACUGUUGGUAAAAAUGAUGCAGUUAAGAAGUGGUCUCUGAACUGUGGUGUUAUAUGCCUCAUUUCAUACAUAAAAAAUGUAGCAUAAAUUAUUGUUGUGUCUAGGAGUUGAAUGCCACUAUAGGCAUACUUUUUCCCCAGCCUACAAAAAUUUUUGCCAAAAGAUGAAACAGUGCAAAGUACUGAGUAGAUUCAAAAGAAAAAUGAGAUGGGUAUAAGCAGGAAGUCAGUUUGAUAUUUCUGAGUUUACUAAUGAUCUUUGUCAGAAACAUGAACCAGAAUAAAGUGCAUGGAUUUUCUAAUUAGAAAAAUUAAGGUAAUUUGAGCAGUAGCACAGACAAGAAACUAUUCCACUAUGCUGAUCAUCUGUCAUGACAUCAAGACAAAUGGUUGAAGGAGUUAGGCUUUAUACCAAUAAUUAAACUCAGAUGCCUGGAGGGGAACUGAUUACGUAUUACCCACUAGUGUGGUACAGUGAGAGAAACAGACAAAGCUGCUCUGUGAGGUCUUGUAGGUCCAGUAACGCUGAUGAAAAAAGAUGCACAGAGUUGUCUGAAAUGUGCUGGCUACAAGUUGAAGUGGGCCUUGUUUGUUAAGAGAAACCAGUCACUGUCACACACGAUUACUACUCUAGGAGUAAAAUGGAUGGGUAUUUGUGGUGAUAUAUUCACAAUAUACUUACUUUAUAUACACAAUUUAUCAUCUCUCUUGAGUUCUUCUGGGCUAUUCUGCAUAUCCUAAGAUACAGAUGUCUCCAAGGACUGUGAAUACACUACAAGGAACAGAGAGCUGAUAUGCUGCUAAUAAGUUUUGUGUCAAGAGGAUACUCUUACUAGAAUUGUGUUAAAAACUCAAUAUGUUUGGAGGAGGGAGAGAGGAGUAGAAAAACUUUGGGGCUGCGAAGCUGCUGCUUUGCAAACCAUUUUGAUACUUUUUGCUGCAGUUUCUUUGCAAUGCCACUUUCUCUCUCCAAACUCCCUUCAGCACAGAAUGUGGGAACCAUAAGGCAGAAAGACAGGUUUCAUACAGUUUUACAUUCUUUAAUUAGCUGGAUCUCCACUGUGCAGUCAGCAGGAUCUUUUUUUUUUUUUUCCUGUAACAGAG